GACGAACGCUGGCGGCGUGCCUAAUACAUGCAAGUCGAGCGGAAUGAUGAAGAAGCUUGCUUCUUCUGAUUUUAGCGGCGGACGGGUGAGUAACACGUGGGCAACCUACCUUGUAGAUUGGGAUAACUCCGGGAAACCGGGGCUAAUACCGAAUAAUCCAUUUUGCUUCAUGGCGAGAUGUUGAAAGACGGUUUCGGCUGUCACUACAAGAUGGGCCCGCGGCGCAUUAGCUAGUUGGUAGGGUAAUGGCCUACCAAGGCGACGAUGCGUAGCCGACCUGAGAGGGUGAUCGGCCACACUGGGACUGAGACACGGCCCAGACUCCUACGGGAGGCAGCAGUAGGGAAUCUUCCACAACGGACGAAAGUCUGAUGGAGCAACGCCGCGUGAGUGAAGAAGGUUUUCGGAUCGUAAAACUCUGUUGUAAGGGAAGAACACGUACGAGAGUAACUGCUCGUACCUUGACGGUACCUUAUUAGAAAGCCACGGCUAACUACGUG
rnacentral:rRNA from 1 species